UAGCUCAGUUGGUAGAGCAUGGUGUUUGCAAUGCAUGGUGUUUGCAACGCCAGGGUUGUGGGUUCGAUUCCCAC
rfam:Salmo salar isolate Sally breed double haploid chromosome ssa03, whole genome shotgun sequence.